AAAAACCCUUUUUCAGGGGAGAGAAAAACCCCCUAGGCGGUUUAAUCCCCCGUUAGGAAAAGACUUCCCUCUCGCAAGAAGAAGCACCGGGUUAAUUCCGGUCCAAGCAGCCGCGGGUAAUUCGGAAGGGGCCAAGCGUUAUUCGGAAUUACUGGGCGUAAAGCGCGCGUAGGUGGCUUGAUAAGCCGGUUGUGAAAGCCCCGGGCUCAACCUGGGAACGGCAUCCGGAACUGUCAAGCUAGAGUGCAGGAGAGGAAGGUAGAAUUCCCGGUGUAGCGGUGAAAUGCGUAGAGAUCGGGAGGAAUACCAGUGGCGAAGGCGGCCUUCUGGACUGACACUGACACUGAGGUGCGAAAGCGUGGGUAGCAAACAGGAUUAGAUACCCUGGUAGUCCACGCCGUAAACGAUGUCGACCAGCCGUUGGGUGCCUAGCGCACUUUGUGGCGAAGUUAACGCGAUAAGUCGACCGCCUGGGGAGUACGGCCGCAAGGUUAAAACUCAAAUGAAUUGACGGGGGCCCGCACAAGCGGUGGAGCAUGUGGUUUAAUUCGAUGCAACGCGAAGAACCUUACCUACUCUUGACAUCCUGCGAAUUUGGUAGAGAUACCUUAGUGCCUUCGGGAACGCAGAGACAGGUGCUGCAUGGCUGUCGUCAGCUCGUGUUGUGAAAUGUUGGGUUAAGUCCCGUAACGAGCGCAACCCUUGUCCUUAUUUGCCAGCGCGUAAUGGCGGGAACUCUAAGGAGACUGCCGGUGACAAACCGGAGGAAGGUGGGGACGACGUCAAGUCAUCAUGGCCCUUACGAGUAGGGCUACACACGUGCUACAAUGGUCGGUACAAAGGGUUGCCAACUCGCGAGAGUGAGCCAAUCCCGAAAAGCCGAUCUCAGUCCGGAUCGGAGUCUGCAACUCGACUCCGUGAAGUCGGAAUCGCUAGUAAUCGUGGAUCAGAAUGCCACGGUGAAUACGUUCCCGGGCCUUGUACACACCGCCCGUCACACCAUGGGAGUGGACUGCACCAGAAGUGGUUAGCCUAACGCAAGAGGGCGAUCACCACGGUGUGGUUCAUGACUGGGGUGAAGUCGUAACAAGGUAACCGUA
rnacentral:rRNA from 1 species